UACGAAGGGGGCUAGCGUUGCUCGGAAUCACUGGGCGUAAAGGGUGCGUAGGCGGGUCUUUAAGUCAGGGGUGAAAUCCUGGAGCUCAACUCCAGAACUGCCUUUGAUACUGAAGAUCUUGAGUUCGGGAGAGGUGAGUGGAACUGCGAGUGUAGAGGUGAAAUUCGUAGAUAUUCGCAAGAACACCAGUGGCGAAGGCGGCUCACUGGCCCGAUACUGACACUGAGGAGCGAAAGCGUGGGGAGCGAACAGG
rnacentral:rRNA from 1 species